rnacentral:rRNA from 1 species
AGCCAUGCCGCGUGUGUGAAGAAGGUCUUCGGAUUGUAAAGCACUUUAAGUUGGGAGGAAGGGCAGUAAGUUAAUACCUUGCUGUUUUGACGUUACCAACAGAAUAAGCACCGGCUAACUUCGUGCCAGCAGCCGCGGUAAUACGAAGGGUGCAAGCGUUAAUCGGAAUUACUGGGCGUAAAGCGCGCGUAGGUGGUUCAGCAAGUUGGAUGUGAAAUCCCCGGGCUCAACCUGGGAACUGCAUCCAAAACUACUGAGCUAGAGUACGGUAGAGGGUGGUGGAAUUUCCUGUGUAGC